rnacentral:miRNA from 1 species
UAUUGUAUUCGACUGUAUUCACGG